rnacentral:tRNA from 1 species
GCCGGGGUGGCGGAACCAGGUAACGCGCCAGACUCGAGUAAACUUUCUUUUCUUGCAAGAAAAGAAACUUUAAUGAAAGAAAAGAAGCAUUGAGGAAAGAAAGGGCUCUAGAGUAAUCUGGUGGGUCUUCGACCCGUGCGAGUUCAAAUCUCGUCCCCGGCG